GUGCUCGCUUCAGCAGCACAUAUACUAAAACUGAAACGAUGCAGAGAAGAUUAGCAUGGGCCCUGCACAAGGACGACACACAGGUUCAUGACGUGUUCCAUAUUUGU